ensembl:lncRNA
GAAAGAUAGAAUACAUUUUUAUUCUAACAAUAACACACUGGAUUUGAGUAGAAUGCAAGUCAGCUGAUAAUAUGGACAGUUUGGUACAGAACAAAGUAAUGGUGUGGUGGGCUACCACAGUGUGAUACAAAACAAGGGUAAAGUACAGAAUAGUUAAGAAUAGAUUCUAUCUGUCAUUUUAUCGUACAGCCUGUAAAACCUUUAAACCUUUUCAACACCUUUUCAAAAUUUUCUUUCAAGCCCACUAAGUUUGUCUUGACUAACUGUACUUGUCUAGUAGUAAAAAUGUAGGACUUGCAGUAAAGUUUGCCAAAUGUCCAUUUCCUGAUGUGAAUUGACUUGCUUGUUCCACCUAAUUUUCUCUUCUUGUCCUUCACAGCAACAGUUUAAAAACAACAAAGAAAGUGUUUUGUGGAAUCUGACAUCAUCUCUGCCUUACGAGUUGCGAAUACGUUGUGAUCCCACCAAUGAGUGUGUACAGUGUCCUCGUAGUGAGGUCAUCGUGGUUCCACCGGAACUCACAGAUGCACCAUCAAUCCAGCUGGAGAUUCAAGACCAUAUACAAAAUCGUUUUAUAUCACCAGGACAGAGAAAAGUAGUCGUGAAGUGGGAGUAUGCAAACAGUGAGGCUGUGGCUUACUACAAUGUGACAGUGAGGAAAGUAUCCGGGGAAUUUAGCAAUCAGGACAGUUUCAGAACUGAAGAUUCAUCUCUCACCAUGAUCCUGUCUUACUCUGUAUACAACAUCAGUAUCAGAGCUUUAAACACUGCUGGAUCAUCUCCUGUUUCCAGUAUAGCCACUGAGCAAAUGGAUGAAUGGAGGGAUUCAUUUGGGCCAUUCAGUGUCAACAUAACCAGCCACAACCAUUUUAGUCUGUCCUGGAACAGGUCCGUCUCAAGUGUUUGUUACUCUGUGGAGUGGUGGGCCAAAGAACAGAUACCAACUUUUUGUACAUUCUACGAAAAGCAGACACGCAAAGAAAUAACUGGGAAAACUGAAACCUAUAGGAGCAUAGGACGUGACGUGUGGCCAACAGUUUUUCAGCCAUAUACAAGAUAUUAUUUCGUCCUGCACACCAGACCGUACCCAGACACCUGCAACAUGAAGAAUGUAAACAACAGUGAGACGACCUAUGGCACAGCCCAAGCUUACUUCACUGAAGGAAGUCCUAUCAGUGCUCCUGGGAAUGUGAGCAUUUUUAAUAUUACCCGGCAUUCCUCAGUAAUCACAUGGUGCCCCGUGUCUGAGGAAGACCUGCGUGGAUUCUUAUUAGGCUACUACAUCUACUUGACAUGGGAAAAUAAUGAAACAUCCUUCAAAGUGGAUCCCAGCGUAAACAGUUAUGAGCUGCAGAAUCUUGAAAGCAACAGUGCGUACCGCGUGCAGCUGUCUGCAUUUACAGCGGCUGGAGAAGGAGAGCGAAGUGAUUUCAAACACUUUGUCACAAACCUACUAGAAUUCACAGCUUUGAUCAGCAUUAUAGCCGCGGUUGUUGUGGGAAUAAUAAUUCUUUUACUAGCAGUUCACCUCAGCUGUCGACUUCUGCACAGACCAAAUCCUGAGAAUAGCAACGCUGUUCAGAAAACUGAAAUUGUCUAUGAUCUGGGUAUCCUGGAGCCACUGAACAGACAGAGGUUAGAGGAAAGUGAGGGAUGUGAUUACACUGCAGUCCAGUACAGUGUUUGUCGUUGGGAGCAAGAGGGAGGCAUCUCCUCUCUGUAGCCCUCCCACUGCUCAGGCUGGUGUGCCCACCACCCUUCUCCUCAGUGAAGAUGAGGACAGCCCAUCCAUCCCGGAGCAGAUCCCACCACCUGACAUCCCAACACAAGUCCUUCAAGGGGCGUUUCUAGGAUUUUCAUUUUAGGGGGGCUCAGCCCCCAACAAGGGUAUGAUUAAAAAAAUAUAUUAUUUGAGGUAGGGUAGGGUAGGGUUGUAUACUACUAACCUUAUUGUAAUCCACUAUUCCAUUGUAUUCCCUGUAUUUCAUAUAUGGGAGUAGGAGUACUGACUGAGCCAUAUACAACACUGUAAAACAUUUUUGAAAAAUGUAGAUGUGACCAGUCACUAGAAAAUUUUGAGUUGGGAAUGUAGAUUUUUUUUACAAUGAAGACUUCCUGAUUCAUUAUUAGGACAUUCAUGUUUAUCCUUUGACGAUACCACUGUUUUUUCUUAUGAAAUGUACGUGGAAAUUGGCAGACAAUUAAAACAACAUAAGGGUUCAAUGACUGCAAUUAAUCUUGUGAACACAGUGGUAUUGUGUGUGAGAGGCUGUCUACGUUCUAUUCUCAUUUUUUGAAAAAUUUAGAUGUGACCAGUCAUUAGAAAAUUUUGAGUUGGGAAUGUAGAUUUUUUUUACAAUGAAGACUUCCUGAUUCAUUAUUAGGACAUUCAUGUUUAUCCUUUGACGAUACCACUGUUUUUUCUUAUGAAAUGUACGUGGAAAUUGGCAGACAAUUAAAACAACAUAAGGGUUCAAUGACUGCAAUUAAUCUUGUGAACACAGUGGUAUUGUGUGUGAGAGGCUGUCUACGUUCUAUUCUCACCUGACUUGCUCAUUUGCAGACCUACUCCCGCACUACAAGAAAAAAUGUUGUAUAUCCAUCUACAAUGAAAUAUAUAUAUAUUAGCCUUUAUAAUCAACAAUACGGUUGGUUAUACAUCAAGUCACCCCCUGAAAAUUUAUUUCAUUUCAAAUCAUUUAACUAACCAGCUAAUAUUCAUUAAGAAUACAGACAAAACAUGUAUUAAUGCAAUUGUCUAUUGGCAAUAUGUUUAAUCUAUUCUAUAUUUAUUUCUAUUUAUUAAAAAUAACAACAUGAAUUAUCAUGGCACUUCUAUAAAUCAAUUACUUAAAAAAAAAUCACAAAUCCCUUUAAUCUACUCUUACUCUAAUAUAUGUAUCAUGAUACACUAUGAUUCAUUAUUACUUAAUACAAAAAUAUAUUUAAAAAUACAAAACAAAAUAACUCCACAUGAUGUUUCUCUCUCUGUGCCAUUUAGUGCUCUCAGACGUGUGUCUUUAAUCAUUUCUGUGCAUGGCUGCAUAAUGUAAUGCCGAAAUACACAAUAAUAUGUUUUGAAUUUUAAAAAGUAAAUUAAAAUAAAUCACUAUUGUUUUCUAAAGUAUGUUUUCA